ANUGGNAUGGGCGAAAGCCUGAUCCAGCCAUUCCGCGUGAGUGAAGAAGGCCUUAGGGUUGUAAAGCUCUUUUGGCGGGGACGAUAAUGACGGUACCCGCAGAAUAAGCCCCGGCUAACUUCGUGCCAGCAGUCGCGGUAAUACGAAGGGGGCUAGCGUUGUUCGGAAUUACUGGGCGUAAAGCGCACGCAGGCGGAUCGAUAAGUCGGGGGUGAAAUCCCGGGGCUCAACCUCGGAAUUGCCUUCGAUACUGUCGAUCUCGAGUCCGGGAGAGGUGAGUGGAAUUCCUAGUGUAGAGGUGAAAUUCGUAGAUAUUAGGAAGAACACCAGUGGCGAAGGCGGCUCACUGGCCCGGUACUGACGCUCAGGUGCGAAAGCGUGGGGAGCAAACAGGAUUAGAUACCCUGGUAGUCCACGCCGUAAACGAUGGAUGCUAGCCGUUGGGGAGCUUGCUCUUCAGUGGCGCAGCUAACGUCUUAAGCAUCCCGCCUGGGGAGUACGGUCGCAAGAUUAAAACUCAAAGGAAUUGACGGA
rnacentral:rRNA from 1 species